rnacentral:rRNA from 1 species
GACGUAGGGCGCGAGCGUUGUCCGGAUUUAUUGGGCGUAAAGAGCUCGUAGGCGGCUCGUCGCGUCGGCUGUGAAAACCUGGGGCUCAACCCCGGGCCUGCAGCCGAUACGGGCGAGCUAGAAUUCGGUAGGGGAGACUGGAAUUCCUGGUGUAGCGGUGAAAUGCGCAGAUAUCAGGAGGAACACCGGUGGCGAAGGCGGGUCUCUGGGCCGAUAUUGACGCUGAGGAGCGAAAGCGUGGGGAGCGAACAGG